UACGUAGGGUGCGAGCGUUGUCCGGAAUUAUUGGGCGUAAAGAGCUCGUAGGCGGUUUGUUGCGUCUAUCGUGAAAACCUGCGGCUUAACUGUGGGCUUGCGGUGGAUACGGGCAGACUUGAGUUCGGUAGGGGAGACUGGAAUUCCUGGUGUAGCGGUGAAAUGCGCAGAUAUCGGGAGGAACACCGGUGGCGAAGGCGGUUCUCUGGGCCUUACCUGACGCUGAGGAGCGAAAGCGUGGGGAGCGAACAGGAUUAGAAACCCUUG
rnacentral:rRNA from 1 species